GAGAGUUAAACAGUACGUGAAAUUGUUGAAAGGGAAACGAUUGAAGCCAGUCGUACCUAUGGGUAAUCAGCCUUUUGGGUGUGAUUUUGUGGAGCGUGAGGAGUUAAACGCCUUCAUGCCUGCAUAUUCGUGCACUUUGGGUGUACUUGCCCGUGUGUAAGUUAACAUCAAUUUUGGUGGUCAUAAAAUGGCUGGAGGAAUGUAGCUUCGAUCUUGUAUUGAAGUGUUAUAGCCUUCGGUAGAUGUGACGAUCGGGAUUGAGGAUUGCAACGGAUACCCUUCGGGGCUACCUGUCUGGUCUCUGAUUGUUGCUCUGGUGCCGAAAGCUUGCUUACGGUUAUCAAAGUCGAUGGUCAAUAGGUUAGAAUGGGUUAAAUUCGUUAAGGAUGUUGACGUAAUGGCUUUAAACGA
rnacentral:rRNA from 1 species